rnacentral:rRNA from 1 species
GACGAACGCUGGCGGCGCGCUUAACACAUGCAAGUCGAGCGAGAACCGGGGCUUCGGCCCCGGGGACAGCGGCGAACGGGUGAGUAACACGUGGAUAACCUGCCCUCGGCACCGGGAUAGCCCGGGGAAACUCGGAUUAAUACCGGAUGGCCCCUCCGACUCUCGAGUCGGUUGGGAAAAGGUAGCUUCGGCCUCUGGCCGAGGAUGGGUCCGCGGCGGAUUAGCUUGUUGGUGGGGUAAUGGCCCACCAAGGCGACGAUCCGUAGCUGGUCUGAGAGGACGAACAGCCACACUGGGACUGAGACACGGCUCAGACUCCUACGGGAGGCAGCAGUGGGGAAUAUUGCGCAAUGGACGAAAGUCUGACGCAGCGACGCCGCGUGUGGGAUGACGGUCUUCGGAUUGUAAACCACUGUCGGG